UACAGAGGUCCCAAGCGUUGUUCGGAUUCACUGGGCGUAAAGGGUGCGUAGGCGGUCGGGUAAGUCUGAUGUGAAAUCUCACAGCUUAACUGUGAAACUGCAUUGGAUACUAUCCGGCUUGAGGAAUGGAGGGGAGACUGGAACUACUUGGUGUAGCAGUGAAAUGCGUAGAUAUCAAGUGGAACACCAGUGGCGAAGGCGAGUCUCUGGACAUUUCCUGACGCUGAGGCACGAAAGCCAGGGGAGCAAACGGG
rnacentral:rRNA from 1 species